rnacentral:rRNA from 1 species
CUAAGUGCACAUGGUGGAUGCCUUGGCGAUCACAGGCGAAGAAGGACGUAAUAGCUUGCGAAAAGCUGCGGGGAGUUGGCAAAUGAGCAUUGAUCCGCAGAUAUCCGAAUGGGGAAACCCACCUCUUUUUAGGAGGUAUCCUUAUCUGAAUACAUAGGGUGAGGAGGCGAACCGAGUGAACUGAAACAUCUAAGUAACUCGAGGAGAAGAAAUCAACCGAGAUUCUGAAAGUAGUGGCGAACGAAAUUGGAUGAGCCGCAACGAGAUAGUAAUUGUAGUAGUCGAACUUACUGGGAAGUAAGACCGUAGAGGGUGAUAGUCCUGUAGACGAAACUAUAGUUAUGGUACUAGGCGUUGCAACAAGUAGGGCGGGACACGUGUAAUCCUGUUCGAAGAUGGGGGGACCAUCCUCCAAGGCUAAAUACUCGUGAUCGACCGAUAGUGAACCAGUACCGUGAGGGAAAGGCGAAAAGAACCCCGGGAGGGGAGUGAAAUAGAACCUGAAACCGUGUGCAUACAAACAGUCGGAGCCCUAGCUAGGAAUCAUAUUAUAUGGUUUUAGGAUAACGCUUGAUCAAAUUAUGCUUGUGGGAUACGAAGGCAUUGCCUACGCAUUUAUUAUCAUAUUUAGUACUUUUUUUGUUGGCUUUUUCGCUUCGCGAGCUAUGGGUCUGGAUGGGCAAUCUGCUUCGCUCAUAAGUUCUUGAAGUGCCCACUCUUCAGGGCAAAGCGAAUAUUACUGUUGCUGAAGGUACGCAAUCCAAUUUGGAAGAAGCACAACAAGUAAAACAACAAAAGAAUGGUUGUGUGAGUACGUAUAAGCUUAUAGAGAGUGAUUUUAAGGAGUCACAGAUAUAAGGUGGUGCUUACAUAGCUGUCUAAAUUUUUUUAUGGGUUGUGAUUGCAAAAUUAAAAAAACACACAAAAAGAAAUUUGAAUGCGAAAGCUGUAAGUUUUUUUAUAAGUUCUCAAAUAACAAAAUCAAGUACCCACACUUAUCGGCUGUAUUAAUUUUUAAAGAACAUUUUUUUCACUACCACCCCACACAAAAUUCACAUGUAAUAAAUUCGUAAAAUGUGGGAAAAGUGAAAGAUUAUUAAUAUACAUAAAACUUAAAGUCUUUGUCAAAUCUUUUUAGCGUUAACCCUAAUUUAAGCUCCAAAUCAUGUUGAGAGCGGAUGCGUGGUAGGAGAGCGUUCUGUAAGCCAGAGAAGGUGAAUCGAGAGGUUUGCUGGAGGUAUCAGAAGUGCGAAUGCUGACAUGAGUAGCGAUAAAGGGAGUGAAAAGCUCCCUCGCCGUAAGUCCAAGGAUUCCUGCGCAACGUUCAUCGGCGCAGGGUUAGUCGGCCCCUAAGGUGAGGCAGAGAUGCGUAGCUGAUGGGAAGUGGGUUAAUAUUCCUACACCGGCUUGUGAUGUGAAGGGGGGACGGAUUGCGGAAUGUGUACGGGCUGUUGGAUAUGCUCGGUAUUGUAGCCAAGAAGUUGAUUAGGCAAAUCCGGUCAAAGGAUUCAAGGCUAUGAUUCGCAGAAGACUUAAGGUCUUUGAAGUCACAGGAAGUGGUUCCAGGAAAAGCCUCUAAGCGUUAAAUUACAAGUUGACCGUACCGCAAACCGACACAGGUGGACGGGAUGAAUAUUCCAAGGCGCUUGAGAGAACUCAGGAGAAGGAACUCGGCAAAUUGAUACCGUAACUUCGGGAGAAGGUAUGCCUUUGUAUGGUGAGUAGCCAGAAGAGGCCGCAGAGAAUAGGUGGCUGCGACUGUUUAUUAAAAACAUAGCACUCUGCAAACACGAAAGUGGAAGUAUAGGGUGUGACGCCUGCCCGGUGCUGGAAGGUUAAUUGAUGUGGUGAGAGCUAUUGAUCGAAGCCCCAGUAAACGGCGGCCGUAACUAUAACGGUCCUAAGGUAGCGAAAUUCCUUGUCGGGUAAGUUCCGACCUGCACGAAUGGCGUAACGAUGGCCACACUGUCUCCUCCUGAGACUCAGCGAAGUUGAAGUGUUUGUGAUGAUGCAAUCUCCCCGCGGCUAGACGGAAAGACCCCAUGAACCUUUACUGUAGCUUUACAUUGGAUCGUGAACCGGCCUGUGUAGGAUAGGUGGGAGGCGAAGAAGGAGGUACGCUAGUACUUUUGGAGCCGUCCUUGAAAUACCACCCUGGUUUGUUUGUGGUUCUAACCUUGGCCCAUUAUCUGGGUUGGGGACAGUGUAUGGUGGGCAGUUUGACUGGGGCGGUCUCCUCCCAAAGUGUAACGGAGGAGUUCGAAGGUACGCUAGGUACGGUCGGAAAUCGUGCUGAUAGUGCAUUGGCAAAAGCGUGCUUGACUGUGAGACAGACAAGUCGAACAGGUGCGAAAGCAGGACAAAGUGAUCCGGUGGUUCUGAAUGGAAGGGCCAUCGCUCAACGGAUAAAAGGUACUCUGGGGAUAACAGGCUGAUACCGCCCAAGAGUUCAUAUCGACGGCGGUGUUUGGCACCUCGAUGUCGGCUCAUCUCAUCCUGGGGCUGUAGCCGGUCCCAAGGGUAUGGCUGUUCGCCAUUUAAAGAGGUACGUGAGCUGGGUUUAAAACGUCGUGAGACAGUUUGGUCCCUAUCUGCCGUGGGCGUUGGAUACUUGACGGAGGCUGCUCCUAGUACGAGAGGACCGGAGUGGACGUACCGCUGGUGUAUCGGUUGUCAUGCCAAUGGCAUUGCCGAGUAGCUACGUACGGAAGAGAUAACCGCUGAAGGCAUCUAAGCGGGAAACUCGUCUGAAGAUAAGGUAUCCCUGAGCGUAAAGCUCCUUUUAAGGGUCGUUCGAGACUAGAACGUUGAUAGGCUGGGUGUGAAAGUGCAGUAAUGCAUGUAGCUAACCAGUACUAAUUGCCCGAGAGGCUUGAUCCU